GACAAAGCCCAAGGAGAGGGAUUUGCUUUAUUCAGCACACUGGGUGUGCGGGGAUAUCUCCUCCUGACAGCGCACACAGGAGAUUACAAUAUAUGGUUAUACUCUAUGCAUAUUCAUGUUCCUCCUCAGAAAAGCCAGGACUCAAGGAGGAGCCAAGGGAGGUGACUUUGAUCCCACAGCCCCAAACAAAGCCAGAUGGGGCCUUGUCCAGUUUCCAAACACAGAAAGUGUUUCAAAUUGUGGUCGAAGCAAGAGGAAAUUGCUGUGUGCCCUUCCAGCUCCAAACAGCACUGGGAAUAAAAACUGUGUCAAAC